rnacentral:rRNA from 1 species
UACAGAGGGUGCAAGCGUUGUUCGGAAUUAUUGGGCGUAAAGGGCGCGUAGGCGGCGCGGUAAGUCACUUGUGAAAUCUCUGAGCUUAACUCAGAACGGCCAAGUGAUACUACAGUGCUAGAGUGUGGAAGGGGCAAUCGGAAUUCUUGGUGUAGCGGUGAAAUGCGUAGAUAUCAAGAGGAACACCUGAGGUGAAGACGGGUUGCUGGGCCAACACUGACGCUGAUGCGCGAAAGCCAGGGGAGCAAACGGG